rnacentral:misc_RNA from 1 species
GGAAUGCUACUCAAGAUAAUGUCAAUGUUAGGAAAAAUGAAUUUGAACAUGAGGAUGCAGAUCCUGCAUCACAACUUGUGGCAAGGUACAGUAGUUCGGAUGAAAUUCCACAGAUCAUUCAGUGGAUCUCGGGAACAAUUAGGGAUGGUGAAGCCAGGGAUCUCCCCUUCUUCAAAGCAAAAACUCCUGAUGUUGUUCCCGAAGACUCUGAUCCUAUCUGGUCAAAAGGUGCCCAAAGUAUUAGAUCCAAAAGUGUGGGAAUCAAGCACAUGAUCCUCAAAAACAUAGGGAAAACUUAUGAUCACAUGGGAGAU